rnacentral:rRNA from 1 species
UGGGGAAUAUUGGACAAUGGGGGCAACCCUGAUCCAGCGAUGCCGCGUGGGUGAAGAAGGCCUUCGGGUUGUAAAGCCCUUUAGAUCGGGAAGAAGGUUAUUCGACGAAUAAUCGAGUAGCUUGACGGUACCGGUAGAAUAAGCACCGGCAAACUCUGUGCCAGCAGCCGCGGUAAUACAGAGGGUGCGAGCGUUAAUCGGAGUUACUGGGCGUAAAGGGUGCGUAGGCGGUAAGAUGUGUGUGAUGUGAAAGCCCCGGGCUUAACCUGGGAAGUGCAUCGCAAACUAUCUAACUAGAGUAUAUGAGAGGGUGGCGGAAUUUCCGGUGUAGCGGUGAAAUGCGUAGAGAUCGGAAGGAACGUCAAUGGCGAAGGCAGCCACCUGGCAUAAUACUGACGCUGAGGCACGAAAGCGUGGGGAGCGAACAGG